rnacentral:pre_miRNA from 1 species
AAAGUACUCCCUCCAUCCCAAAAUUCUUGUCUUAGAUUUGUCUAGAUACAGAUGUAUCAAGUCACAUUUUAGUAUUAGAUACAUUCGUAUCUAGACAAAUCUAAGACAAAAAAUUUGGGACAGAGGGAGUAGUUG